rnacentral:rRNA from 1 species
AACGAACGCUGGCGGCAUGCCUAACACAUGCAAGUCGAACGAGACCUUCGGGUCUAGUGGCGCAAGGGUGCGUAACGCGUGGGAACCUGCCCUUAGGUUCGGAAUAACUCCCCGAAAGGGGUGCUAAUACCGGAUAAUGUCUUCGGACCAAAGAUUUAUCGCCUUUGGAUGGGCCCGCGUUGGAUUAGCUAGUUGGUAGGUUAAAAGCCUACCAAGGCGACGAUCCAUAGCUGGUCUGAGAGGAUGAUCAGCCACACUGGGACUGAGACACGGCCCAGACUCCUACGGGAGGCAGCAGUGGGGAAUAUUGGACAAUGGGCGAGAGCCUGAGCCAGCAAUGCCGCGUGAGUGAUGAAGGCCUUAGGGUUGUAAAGCUCUUUUACCCGGGAUGAUAAUGACAGUACCGGGAGAAUAAGCUCCGGCUAACUCCGUG